rnacentral:tRNA from 1 species
GGGUCCGUAGCUUAGUCUGGUGGAGUAAUUGGCUCAUAACCGAUUGGUCGCAGGUUCAAAUCCUGCCGGGCCCA